rnacentral:rRNA from 1 species
UGGGGAAUUUUGGACAAUGGGGGCAACCCUGAUCCAGCAAUGCCGCGUGUGUGAAGAAGGCCUUCGGGUUGUAAAGCACUUUUGUCCGGAAAGAAAUCGCACUUACUAAUAUUAGGUGUGGAUGACGGUACCGGAAGAAUAAGGACCGGCUAACUACGUGCCAGCAGCCGCGGUAAUACGUAGGGUCCAAGCGUUAAUCGGAAUUACUGGGCGUAAAGCGUGCGCAGGCGGUUGUGCAAGACCGAUGUGAAAUCCCCGGGCUUAACCUGGGAAUUGCAUUGGUGACUGCACGGCUAGAGUGUG